rnacentral:lncRNA from 1 species
CUUGAUCAGUCUCGGGUGGCCGGAGGAAAUUAAUAAGAGACUGAAGACGAGGCGAGAAUAUACCGUGGCGUGGACGAUCCGCCUGCGGGUGCAAAGCAUCUAUCGGCUCGCGCAGGGGCAGGAGGGCGCGUGCGUGCGACCGCCUGUCACGUGACCUCACCACGCACCGCACGUACUUACCCUGCAUGCUGCUGCGCUAGGGUCGACGUCACCUGCCCGGCCCGGCCGUCCGGCUGGCCGGUGGAUGACGGCUAUCCUGUGGCUGUGACACGCCACGCCUUUCUCCUCUGCGGCCAGCUAGCUCUAGAUAUAUCAUCGCCGACUGCACGUCCGUCCCGUCGAGACGAAUGCUGAAUGAUUGAGACGAUCAUGAUAUUUUUUUUUCCUUCUUCCUUUUUUUUUUGCCUUUCACUAUUCCUACUUUUAGUUUUAUGAUGCAAAUUAUCCAAUCUUACCCAACGUGACAAGACUUGCUACUUUUACCAUGUGAAGUUUGUUUUAGGAUAACUAGGGGGCAUAACCCUGCUUGCACCGUUUUAAUUAAACAAGAGAAUCAGGAUACAAGGAAUACAACGGUAACAUUUGCCCUAGGAAACACGAGAGAGAAAACCUAGGCUCUCGAAACAGGCCAAAGGCAAAAGCUAUGCACAACAAGGAGCACCGAUGAUGUAGUCGAACAAU